ACCCAUGCUGCCUUGUGCAGGACCACAGCCAGAAGUUUUGGAAGAGUCCUGGGAUAAAACGUAAUUGCUGUCUGAUGGCUGAACAAAAAUCUAAUCCUGUAUGGCAGCAUUUCACAAAGCCAACACCAGGAAAAGCCAGGUGCAAUAUCUGCAGCAGACUGGUGAGCUUGGGAGCUGAAGAAUGAGUUUGCUGCUAAAGAGAUUCUGAUGCUGCUAUCUUUAUUGUUUAUAAGUUUAAGUUGUUUAUAAGUUGUAUUGUGUUUUUGUUAUUUAAGUUUAUAUUUAAAUUUACACAAGUCAGUAUUCAAUAAAUGCUACGUUGAGAAA